CAAGCAGUGGAGCAUGUGGUUUAAUUCGAAGCAACGCGAAGUAACCUUACCAGGUCUUGACAUCCCGAUGCUUAUUUCUAGAGAUAGAAAGUUACUUCGGUACAUCGGUGACAGGUGGUGCAUGGUUGUCGUCAGCUCGUGUCGUGAGAUGUUGGGUUAAGUCCCGCAACGAGCGCAACCCCUAUUGUUAGUUGCCAUCAUUCAGUUGGGCACUCUAGCGAGACUGCCGGUAAUAAACCGGAGGAAGUGGGGAUGACGUCGAAUCAUCAUGCCCCUUAUGGCCUGGGCUACACACGUGCUACAAUGGUUGGUACAACGAGUUGCGAGUCGGUGACGGCGAGCUAAUCUCUUAAAGCCAAUCUCAGUUCGGAUUGUAGGCUGCAACUCGCCUACAUGAAGUCGGAAUCGCUAGUAAUCGCGGAUCAGCACGCCGCGGUGAAUACGUUCCCGGGCCUU
rnacentral:rRNA from 1 species